UACGUAGGGUGCGAGCGUUGUCCGGAAUUACUGGGCGUAAAGAGCUCGUAGGUGGUUUGUCGCGUUGUCCGUGAAAACUCACAACUCAAUUGUGGGCGUGCGGGCGAUACGGGCAGACUGGAGUACUGCAGGGGAGACUGGAAUUCCUGGUGUAGCGGUGGAAAUGCGCGAUAUCAGUGAAGAAGACCGGUGGCGAAGGCGGGUCUCGU
rnacentral:rRNA from 1 species